rfam:Chlorella variabilis unplaced genomic scaffold CHLNCscaffold_16, whole genome shotgun sequence.
GGUCCUGUGGCCCAAUGGAUAAGGCGUCGGUCUACGGAACCGAAGAUUCCAGGUUCGAUCCCUGGCAGGAUCA